GGAACCCAACCUUGUUUCGAGGACCAUCAGUAUACCUUAAAGACCAAAGCAGCAACACUUAAGAUUUACAUAUUGACCAAGCAUUGGUGAUCCAGGAUGCUUUUGAUAAAAGGAAAUGCAAAAAAUACCAUUUUAUAAAUAGUGGUGUUCAUCAUUCAAGCACUGAGAUAACUUAAAUCUCUGACAAGUUCCUUGGGCUCAAUCCUGAGAAGCAAUUCCUCUGGACAUGCCUGGACUCUCCCACACAGAGCCUCUCUUCCUGUCUCUCAGUCCAGGAUAUUUCUGAAGAUGGUUCCAGAGAAACUACUGUCUCAUGGAUUUGGGAGUUUUAUAUUCCUGCUGCAAAUUUCUAGAGCCCUCAUGAGUUGAGCACACCGCUGCCGUUCUCUGACUAUUCAGAGCUGCCCGUCUCUCCCAUCCCCU
rnacentral:lncRNA from 1 species